ACAAAUACCCGUUGCCCAGUGGUGUAUAGCAACCCGUUUUCAAUCCAAAAUCGCCUUGUUUUUCCUUCUCGAGUGGCUUGCAUCAAUGUUUUCGCCAUGGGGUCAUGCUCCAAUCCUUGUUUAAUUUCCUCUAACAAGGUACCCGUGGCUUGACUAAUUGCCGCAAGUUCCGCCUUCCGGCUAAGUGCAUCCGCCACUACAUUCACCUUCCCGGGUUUGUAUUCCAUCACAUAAUCAAACUCCGCUAAGAAAUCUUGCCAUCUAGC
rnacentral:lncRNA from 1 species